CCAAGCUGAGGGCUUGAUCCUGCAAACCCGCCUCCCAUCCGGGCCAGCCGACCUUACUCGGGCGAGCAGGGACGCCCAGGCCCGGAGGCGGCUCCAUUAGAGCCAAGUCCCGCAGGGCUCCGCAGGGCCGGGCCGGGCUCCGGGAGCGGGGCCGGGGCUCAUCCCCGCGCUGCCCCCGGGCUCCGCUGCCACGGGAGAAGCUCUCCAACGUGUCCUUCUGGCAUCGCUGGGAAUGAUGGCCCCUUUAAGCUCUUACAAAUUGCAGAAGUAGAGGAAGACAGAGAAAUAAUUAAUGUAUUAAAACAAGCAGCGAAUUCCUCAGGAGGCACCUUAUCAACUCCAGCCACACUGGCUUCAUCCCUCCUCGUAUGCUAAUACCCCGUGACGUCAUUGGCGCCAGAUUGAAUGUGAAUCAGUUAUGAAAUUAUUAGUUUUAGCUUAAAAAGCAAUCUGGCUCUCCCGUGAGUGGGCUUUGCGUUGCUGCGGGUUCUCGCUCCGUGUCCUCCCCGUGUUAUGCACACACAGUAGUUGCGACUUUCCUGUCGCAAUGAAUCAAUAUUUCCAAAGCACACAUCCUAACAGGGGGUGAUGUAAAGAAACCCAUAGAUUAAUUGGGUCCCGUUUCUGAGUCGGCUGUGUCUUCCUUAUCGAUACACACUUUACACCCGAAACCAGACAGUCGGAUUUCCUCCUACUCUUCAGGGUCUGUGUGAUCUCCUCCCAUGAGAGGCGGCUCAGCAGCUCGGUCCCCUCUGCCAUCUCAGCACUGCCACUGGAGAAGCCCAGGAGGAGCAGAGCAGUGGCUGAGCAGCAAUUUGAAUAUCCAUAUUUAACUCUUCAAACAACAGAAGAUACUUCAGAACCAUGUGUGAGACAAAAUGCCAUUAAAGUUUCAAUCAUUAAACCUCUGUUUAGCUGUACUCCAGAAAUGAGCAGUUCGUAACAAGAGGGGAAUACUGAUUGACAGUUUGCCAUCAGGAGCCCUUAAGCAGGAUUUUUUCCAGCUAUAAUGCAGUGUACUCUUCACUGCUCCCUUUUGCAAGAUGCUAUUUCAAGUAGAGGAGCAUGAGGAAAAUUUACAUAAAAGCUUUGUAUGUAAUAUGUGAUUGCUCUGAAAUUAAGAAGCACCAGUUUUCCCCUUUUUUUUUCAGAAAUGAAGGGUGCACUUUGUUUUCUUGUUUACCUAGCACACUCUGUGAUCCCUUGAUGUGUUUCAAGUGUUUUCUGUCAGCAUCACUAGACCUUGCUUACCUGCUAAAUUUUAUGUGUGAAGUGAUUAGCGUUCAAAGUGCCUGAAAAAACCAGCACUAACGAUGUCUGACAACUUUUGGGGUUUUUUUUGUGCUUUUUCCUCUUAAAUAAUAUUUCAUGGUACAUUAAAUAGGUUAUGCAGUCUCUUCUGAGAGACCAAAGCAAGGUAUUGCUGCAUACUUAAUGUUUCACCAAGCAGAUAGUUUUUAAAAGGAAAAAAACCAGAAGGCAGCAUAGAAUCCUUUCCCUGAGCCUUGUCUCAGCAUCUUUUCAAUUCAGUGAGAAAUGGUAGCAAUUUGGAGAGAGAUAUAGAAAGAAAAAUAAACAUUAUUUCACAAUAAACCUCUUAGCGUGUCACUUGUGAUCACCAGCAGAUACUAGAAAUGCUUCUUGUAAAAUCCACUGAGCAUUAUUUCUUCACAAGUUGAAAUGCUUUCAGCCAAACUGUUUUCUCAAUGUUCACAUCGGAUGUACCAGUUAGAGGCAGAGCAGCCCAAGAGAGAAGCAAACAAUUAAAACUUUUACGUGUUUGAUUCCUGACAGACAUCCCUAUGAGCCUGAUGAUGCAGGGUGAGGAGUGCCCAGCAACCUCUGUGUGCUCGAGGCACAGCUUUGUCCCCUUCAGUGGGACAGUGCACAUGGAAAUGUGGGAUCUGUUCCUUCCCAAGCCCCAGUGAUGCCUUGCUUUGCAGUUCCUCUCGCUGGUUCUCAUAUCCUGGCAAGAUGCUACAAACCCCACGUGACAAAGAUCAGAAGGAAAUACUUAUUUGAAGAAAUCUCUGUCGUUAGCUGUGCUGUUUAGGUGAGUUUAUAACCAAAAUCGGCUGCUCACUGCCCAUUCCCAGCACAGAGCCCGACUUCUCUAUGCUGUUUCCAGGAUUUUCAACUAGAAUUGCAACAAGGGGCGUUUUAUGGGAAUCUCUCCAUGACUUUUCAAGGAAAAUUGCAAAGGAGAUAAUUGAAGAGGAAAAAAGCUAUAAAAUGAAACAACAAAUUGUGAGCAUCUGUGUGCACAUCCCUGUGUGUCCUGGUACCACUGCUGGCACACUGGCUCUCAGGAGGAGUUUCAGUGAUGGUGACAAUGUAAAUUUCAGUUCCUGUCCCUCUGUUUCUGAGUGGGGUCUGAUUAUUCCCAGAGCUGCUGGUCCCCAUCCCAGCACAAGGCGCUGCCCGCAGGGAUGUGACGCUGGAAUUGCAGGAGUUCUUUCCCCACGGCUGACUUGGAGCAGCGAUUUUGGCGGCGCGGGGGCUGCGUGGGGCCGGCCGGGGUGCCGGGACGGGAGCUGGGCACCCCCAGGGGCUCCGCAGGGUGAACCCGCUCUGUGCUCCGCAUCCACACGCAGUGUUUGCUCACUGGGGAGGGCAGCUCCGGGUGCUGGAGCUGCCGAGAUCCAGCCCAUCCCCCGGCCCGUGUGAAACUGCACAAAGCCUCUCCUAAACGUGAAUUUAAAACGCUUUCAAAUUGACAACCUCCUUUUAAAUAAAAACAUUUAUGUUAAGCGAAAGGCAUGUUUGCCUCUACAAAUAAAUGGAAUUAUGGUUCUAAGACCUGACUUAAUCCUGAAGUUCUUAGACUGCACAGUAAGUAGAAAAGAAAGAGGAUUGUUUGGAGGAGCAGGGGUUAGCAGGAUCAGGCUCCAUCUUACAUCUUCCUGCUCGUUUUCCUUCUGGCAUUCAAUAUACAUUUCUCAGAACUACCUCUGUUUAUAACAAUGCCAAAGUAACUUCAUGUCUAUUACCUAAUUGAAAAUAACGAGGGACAGUACACAGCGUGCCCAUCCAGAAAAAUUUGAGGGUUGUGAAACAAACAAAAGAUGCUCUUCCUCCAAAUGUAUUUUUAUGCUAAAGUCAUGUCCUUUUGAAAUUAAUUUCAGGAUUUCUCUCAAAUGUGUUGUAAUUCUUUGUUCUUUUUCUACACUGAUUUCUUUGUGAAAAUGUAUUUAAAAAUCUGCAUGGAGGUUUCAAAGGAUCAGAGAGAAGAUGUUUACAGAGUAAUAUUGCCAUUUGUAUUUGUUACUUUUCUGAAAAUGGAAUUUCUAAUCAGACAAUAUUAAAAUACUUUUGUAUUAUUUUUGUGUGGUUUCAUGACAUUUGCAUGUUUCCAGCUCUGAUUUUGGUACCCAUGUAGGCAGGCUAAUUAGGAAAGCAGGAUCAUAAGUUUUAUUGUUACUCCAUCCAAAUAAAUCUAUUCUAUAACCCCA